GAUGAACGCUGGCGGCGUGCCUAAUACAUGCAAGUCGAGCGAACGGACGAGAAGCUUGCUUUUCUGAUGUUAGCGGCGGACGGGUGAGUAACACGUGGAUAACCUACCUAUAAGACUGGGAAACUUCGGGAAACCGGAGCUAAUACCGGAUAAUAUUUUGAACCGCAUGGUUCAAAAGUGAAAGACGGUCUUGCUGUCACUUAUAGAUGGAUCCGCGCUGCAUUAGCUAGUUGGUAAGGUAACGGCUUACCAAGGCAACGAUGCAUAGCCGACCUGAGAGGGUGAUCGGCCACACUGGAACUGAGACACGGUCCAGACUCCUACGGGAGGCAGCAGUAGGGAAUCUUCCGCAAUGGGCGGAAGCCUGACGGAGCAACGCCGCGUGAGUGAUGAAGGUCUUCGGAUCGUAAAACUCUGUUAUUAGGGAAGAACAUAUGUGUAAGUAACUGUGCACAUCGUGACGGUACCUAAUCAGAAAGCCACGGCUAACUACGUG
rnacentral:rRNA from 1 species